UUGACUGAGCGGCGGACGGGUGAGUAACGCGUGGGCAACCUGCCUUACACAGGGGGAUAACAGUUAGAAAUGACUGCUAAUACCGCAUAAGACCACGGUACUGCAUGGUACAGUGGUAAAAACUCCGGUGGUGUAAGAUGGGCCCGCGUCUGAUUAGGUAGUUGGCGGGGUAACGGCCCACCAAGCCGACGAUCAGUAGCCGACCUGAGAGGGUGACCGGCCACAUUGGGACUGAGACACGGCCCAGACUCCUACGGGAGGCAGCAG
rnacentral:rRNA from 1 species